rnacentral:tRNA from 1 species
AAAAUCCGUCGACUUUAGAAAUGUGAGGGUUCAAGUCCCUCUAUCCCCA